rnacentral:rRNA from 1 species
UACGUAGGGUGCGAGCGUUGUCCGGAAUUAUUGGGCGUAAAGCGUGCGCAGGCGGUUUGUUAAGACAGAUGUGAAAUCCCCGGGCUUAACCUGGGAACUGCAUUUGUGACUGCAUGGCUGGAGUGCGGCAGAGGGGGAUGGAAUUCCGCGUGUAGCAGUGAAAUGCGUAGAUAUGCGGAGGAACACCGAUGGCGAAGGCAAUCCCCUGGGCCUGCACUGACGCUCAUGCACGAAAGCGUGGGGAGCAAACAGG